GACUUUACAAAGGAGCUGUAUCAGAAACCAGGGUUAAACAACAAGUACAGAACAAAUGAUUCCUCCAGCACCCCUACUGUAAGGAUUUUAAGAACUCUAUCUCAGAAUAAAGACCUGAGGGUCACAAGAUGUAAAUCAAAGGCCCUAGGAUUUUCCCAGGGUCAGGUGUGCAUUCCUACUUAAUCAGAGGUCAUGAGUCCUCACACAUUUUCAAGAGUUUGGAAAAUGAUCUCCCUUGCCGGGUUGCCAGUCUUCAGAGAGGUCUGUACUGUGGAAGAAAAAGGAAAACUUCACAUGCACUGACCGUGUUUAAUACAUUCAUCAUAUACAGUAUUUUUGCAGCAGCAAAAAUAACACUCUUGAUUUAGUGUACAAUGACAUAUGUCAUAUAUUUAAUAUACAAAAUAUUUUCCUUGCUAACCUAUAUGAUUUCAAAUGCCUGGAACACCAUUGUGUCAUUACUUGAGAGUAUGUAAAUUUUAAUAUAUUAAAUUUUUUUGCCAGAUAUACUGGCAAGGUUUUAAAAGUUGUGAUUUUAUUGGAGGCCAGAUGAUAUACAUAGUAGUUUGUCUGAUCACUUGAACCAAGAGGAAACUAAUACAUUUUUGAGCUCCAAUAUGGACAUAAUGUCAUGAAGCAGGAACAUGAUGCUCCAUUUCAGGACACGUCUGCUGACCUUCACCUGGAAUCCCUGCUCUGGGCUGAUGACUCAGAUGUAAGAAUGAUGAGGUGCAUCAGUUGGAAAGCAGAGAACAAUGAGCAAAAGAACUGAGUUGUGGGAAGACAUGAAGGAUGGAUGUGAGGCCCUGAAUAACAGCUGCCAAGUACUGCAGUCGGGAAUCCGUGGUGAAGUGAUUCAAUCCUGACCACAGCCUGUGAUUAAACGGGAUUUCAUUUUUCAAUCCUUUUGUUUAACAGUACCUCCUUCAUUACACGUGAACAGCACUCCAGGAUAGCAAAUCAUGAAAUGGGAAUAAAGCCUGUAAUUUUAAUUAACAUAUUUUAAAAUAUGUCUGAUUUGCAUUUGAUCAAAUUUUCAUUUGCAUUGAGCUCUAUUUUUUUCUCAUGUAAUGUUUGACAUUCCCAUUUCCUUCUUUAAUGCAAUACUAAUAUUUAAUAAAAUAUAUUACAU